GGCCCAAAUUUGAAGUGGCGUAGAUUAGAAGGAUCAUCUGACCCCACUUAACUACCCUACUUCAAGUUUGUGCCC
rfam:Haemonchus placei strain MHpl1 genome assembly, scaffold: HPLM_scaffold0000953